AGACCCCAGCGCCGACUGAGCCUCUAAAGCGACUUCAGCUCUGCCCCACCAACACCACCGCGCGCCCGGGAACAGCCGCUCCGGGAAGAAACCUGAGGGGACUGCGGGGGGCACGAGGGACAGCUGAGGGAAGGGAGGACGCGAGAGAAACAGCGCGAGCACGCUGAGGGCCGGGGGUUGCCAGGAGAGGGGCCCGCGGACCCGCAGAGCGGAGGAAGGUCCGGGAGAAAAGGGGCGGGACGGAGGAGAAUCCGGGAUCGCCUGGCAGAAAAAGAGAAGGGAGUUUCUGAAUCCUGGGAAGAGGAGGCGUGGUUUCAAGGACAGGUGCGUGUCCAUCCUGUGUUGCAAAUUCUGUAAACAAGUGCUCAGCUCUAGGGGAAUGAAGGCUGUUUUGCUGGCUGAUACUGAAAUAGACCUUUUCUCUACAGACAUCCCUCCUACCAACGCAGUGGACUUCACUGGAAGAUGCUAUUUCACCAAAAUCUGCAAAUGUAAACUGAAGGACAUCGCAUGUUUAAAAUGUGGGAACAUUGUAGGUUAUCAUGUGAUUGUUCCAUGUAGUUCCUGUCUUCUUUCCUGCAACAACGGACACUUCUGGAUGUUUCACAGCCAGGCAGUUUAUGAUAUUAACAGACUAGACUCCACAGGUGUAAACGUCCUACUUUGGGGCAACUUGCCAGAGAUAGAAGAGAGUACAGAUGAAGAUGUGUUAAAUAUCUCAGCAGAGGAGUGUAUUAGAU
rnacentral:lncRNA from 1 species